GCAGUCGAACGAACUUCCGUUAAUUGAUUAUGACGUACUUGUACUGAUUGAGAUUUUAACACGAAGUGAGUGGCGAACGGGUGAGUAACACGUGGGUAACCUGCCCAGAAGUAGGGGAUAACACCUGGAAACAGAUGCUAAUACCGUAUAACAGAGAAAACCGCAUGGUUUUCUUUUAAAAGAUGGCUCUGCUAUCACUUCUGGAUGGACCCGCGGCGUAUUAGCUAGUUGGUGAGGUAAAGGCUCACCAAGGCAGUGAUACGUAGCCGACCUGAGAGGGUAAUCGGCCACAUUGGGACUGAGACACGGCCCAGACUCCUACGGGAGGCAGCAGUAGGGAAUCUUCCACAAUGGACGCAAGUCUGAUGGAGCAACGCCGCGUGAGUGAAGAAGGGUUUCGGCUCGUAAAGCUCUGUUGUUAAAGAAGAACGUGGGUAAGAGUAACUGUUUACCCAGUGACGGUAUUUAACCAGAAAGCCACGGCUAACUACGUGCCAGCAGCCGCGGUAAUACGUAGGUGGCAAGCGUUAUCCGGAUUUAUUGGGCGUAAAGCGAGCGCAGGCGGUCUUUUAAGUCUAAUGUGAAAGCCUUCGGCUCAACCGAAGAAGUGCAUUGGAAACUGGGAGACUUGAGUGCAGAAGAGGACAGUGGAACUCCAUGUGUAGCGGUGAAAUGCGUAGAUAUAUGGAAGAACACCAGUGGCGAAGGCGGCUGUCUGGUCUGCAACUGACGCUGAGGCUCGAAAGCAUGGGUAGCGAACAGGAUUAGAUACCCUGGUAGUCCAUGCCGUAAACGAUGAUUACUAAGUGUUGGAGGGUUUCCGCCCUUCAGUGCUGCAGCUAACGCAUUAAGUAAUCCGCCUGGGGAGUACGACCGCAAGGUUGAAACUCAAAAGAAUUGACGGGGGCCCGCACAAGCGGUGGAGCAUGUGGUUUAAUUCGAAGCUACGCGAAGAACCUUACCAGGUCUUGACAUCUUCUGACAGUCUAAGAGAUUAGAGGUUCCCUUCGGGGACAGAAUGACAGGUGGUGCAUGGUUGUCGUCAGCUCGUGUCGUGAGAUGUUGGGUUAAGUCCCGCAACGAGCGCAACCCUUAUUACUAGUUGCCAGCAUUAAGUUGGGCACUCUAGUGAGACUGCCGGUGACAAACCGGAGGAAGGUGGGGACGACGUCAAAUCAUCAUGCCCCUUAUGACCUGGGCUACACACGUGCUACAAUGGAUGGUACAACGAGUCGCGAGACCGCGAGGUUAAGCUAAUCUCUUAAAACCAUUCUCAGUUCGGACUGUAGGCUGCAACUCGCCUACACGAAGUCGGAAUCGCUAGUAAUCGCGGAUCAGCAUGCCGCGGUGAAUACGUUCCCGGGCCUUGUACACACCGCCCGUCACACCAUGAGAGUUUGUAACACCCAAAGCCGGUGGGGU
rnacentral:rRNA from 1 species